CAGCAGCCGCGGUAAUACGUAGGGUGCGAGCGUUAAUCGGAACUACUGGGCGUAAAGCGUGCGCAGGCGGUUUUGUAAGACAGGCGUGAAAUCCCCGGGCUCAACCUGGGAAUGGCGCUUGUGACUGCAAAGCUAGAGUGCGGCAGAGGGGGAUGGAAUUCCGCGUGUAGCAGUGAAAUGCGUAGAUAUGCGGAGGAACACCGAUGGAGAAGGCAAUCCCCUGGGCCUGCACUGACGCUCAUGCACGAAAGCGUGGGGAGCAAACAGGAUUAGAUACCCGCGUAGUCCCUGUCUCUUAUAC
rnacentral:rRNA from 1 species